rnacentral:rRNA from 1 species
GCAGCAGGCACGCAAAUUACCCACUCCCGGCACGGGGAGGUAGUGACAAAAAAUAACGAUACGGGACUCUAUUGAGGCCCCGUAAUCGGAAUGAGUACACUUUAAAUCCUUUAACAAGGAUCCAUUGGAGGGCAAGUCUGGUGCCAGCAGCCGCGGUAAUUCCAGCUCCAAUAGCGUAUAUUAAAGUUGUUGCGGUUAAAAAGCUCGUAGUUGGUUCUGCGUGCCGCGCUGUCGGUUUGCCGCCUGUCGGUGUAACUGGCAUGUCGCGGCAUGUCCUGUCGGUGGUGAACGGGACCAGAGGCGUUUUGCGUAGGCUUUAAUUGCCGAAACAUGCGUCGUAUGUGUUACCGUUUACCGAUCUCUCCUACUCCGGUGCUCUUAAUUGAGUGUCGAGGUAGGCCGACACGUUCACUUUGAACAAAUUAGAGUGCUUAAAGCAGGCUGAAAUAUCUGCCUGAAUAGUGGUGCAUGGAAUGAUAAAACAGGACCUCAGUUCUAUUUUGUUGGUUUUAGGAAUAUGAGGUAAUGAUCAAUGUGGACUGGCGGGGGCAUUCGUAUUGCGACGUUAGAAGUGAAAUUCUUGGAUCGUCGCAAGACGCACUAGAGCGAAAGCAUUUGCCAAGUAUGUCUUAAUUGAUCAAGAACGAAAGUUAGAGGUUCGAAGGCGAUCAGAUACCGCCCUAGUUCUAACCAUAAACGAUGCCAGCCAGCGAUCCGCCGAUGUUCCUUUAAUGACUCGGCGGGAAGCUUCUACUCGGGAAACCAAAGCUUUUGGGUUCCGGGGGAAGUAUGGUUGCAAAGCUGAAACUUAAAGGAAUUGACGGAAGGGCACCACCAGGAGUGGAGCCUGCGGCUUAAUUUGACUCAACACGGGAAACCUCACCAGGCCAGGACAUUGGAAGGAUUGACAGAUUGAUAGCUCUUUCUUGAUUCAGUGGGUAGUGGUGCAUGGCCGUUC